rnacentral:rRNA from 1 species
AUGUACGCACCGGUCCGCUCGGGUGACCAAAGCGGACAAAGUGCGUCCGUUUGGGUCUUCGCUUGCUCUCAGGCACCCAUGUUGCGCACGGCGAUCGCCGCCGCGCCGCGGCCGCGCAUCUCCCUUGCCCCGGCAAGAUUCGCACACGAGCUCGCGCAGGCGCAGGCGCAGUCGGCCGUCCCUGGACGGGAUGACCUUGACCCGUCGUGGGUCCCGCUCUACAGGACAAUCUCGAGGCUGUACGGCAGGCCACCGGGAAUGGUGGCGGCGGAGAUGGACAACUAUCUCCGCAAGAGGCGCCCGCUCUCGGCGGACCAGAUCGUCGCCUACGUCCGGAAGCUCCGCAAGUUCAAGAGCAACGCUUGCGCCCUCGAGUUGAUGGACUGGAUGGAAUCUCGUGGAGCAAAGUUGACGCUUGAGCAUCAAGCGCUGCGGCUUGGCCUUGUUUCAAAAGUGCACGGGUUACAGGCGGCUGAAGAAUAUUUCUGGAGCCUUCCAGAUAAGUCAAAGGAAACUUAUUCAUGUUUGCUUAACUGCUAUGGUGAACACGGAAUGGCAUGCAAAGGUCUGGAACUCUAUGAGAAGAUGAAAGUCAUGGACAUUGUUCCAAAUACACUGUUGUACAACAGCUUGAUGACUUUGUACCAAAAGGCGGGCCAGCCAGAGAAAAUCCCCUCCACAUUUGAAGAAAUGCGAGAAAGCGGUAUAAGUGCUAACAAUUUUACGUACUUCACUUUGAUAGAAAGCUAUAUCACAAUGAAUGACCUGGAGGCUGCAGAGAAAGUCCUGGAAGAAUUGGAGAAGGUGGCUCCAGUUCACUGGUCCUUGUACACUUUGAUGGCAAACAGUUACAUUAAACUAGAGCUGUUUGGAAAGUCAGAAGUGGCCCUAAAGAAAGCUGAGGAAGUCAUGGACAAAGCUGAGUUGUUGUCCAUUCUGGCAAUUCAACCAAGCAAAUUUUUCAGGAGUGGGAAUGGAGGUCAUUGCAACGGGAGGACGGUUUACGUAUUUGCCGAGUUCUAUUUGGACAAAUCUGAUGUUACCGCGGCACUGGAGAUCUUGAGAGAUGCAAAGAAGAUGCUUACGGCACACAAAUGGGUGCCGUCGGAAAAGCUUACGAGCAGAUUUCUGAAGCACUAUGAAGAGUCAAAGGAUGUUGAUGGUGUGGAGUCUUUCUGCGAUCGCCUGAAGAAGCUCGAAUGCCUUGAUGCGGAAGCUUAUGAGGGCAUGGUGCGGACCUAUAUAGCUGCAGGUAGAACCAUCCCAUCCAUUGGUCAGCGCAUCGAAGAUGACGGGAUUCACGUAGGACCUGAGAUGACGAAAUUGCUGGAGAGUGUAUCCGGCAAUUCAAAAUGA